rnacentral:rRNA from 1 species
GACGAACGCUGGCGGCGUGCUUAACACAUGCAAGUCGAACGGAAAGGCCCUGCUCUUGUGGGGUGCUCGAGUGGCGAACGGGUGAGUAACACGUGAGUAACCUGCCCUUGACUUUGGGAUAACUUCGGGAAACUGGGGCUAAUACCGGAUAGGAGCUCCUGCUGCAUGGUGGGGGUUGGAAAGUUUCGGCGGUUGGGGAUGGACUCGCGGCUUAUCAGCUUGUUGGUGGGGUAGUGGCUUACCAAGGCUUUGACGGGUAGCCGGCCUGAGAGGGUGACCGGCCACAUUGGGACUGAGAUACGGCCCAGACUCCUACGGGAGGCAGCAGUGGGGAAUAUUGCACAAUGGGCGGAAGCCUGAUGCAGCAACGCCGCGUGCGGGAUGACGGCCUUCGGGUUGUAAACCGCUUUCGCCUGUGACGAAGCGUGAGUGACGGUAAUGGGUAAAGAAGCACCGGCUAACUACGUG